GAUAAGGUCUUGGAAGUAGAGCAGAAGUACAAUGAGAUACGCAAGCCAGUCUAUGAUAAGCGGAAUGAGAUCAUCAAGACCAUUCCUGACUUCUGGUUAACUGCUUUUUUAAGCCAUCCUGUUCUUCAUACACUACUAAAUGAAGAGGAUCAAAAGAUAUUCAAAUAUAUAAGCUCCUUGGAGGUGGAGGACUUUAAAGACGUUAAAUCGGGUUACUCCAUAACCUUUAACUUUCAACCCAAUCCUUAUUUUGAGGAUACAAAGCUUACAAAGACAUUCACCUUCCUUGACGAAGGAACAACAGAAAUUACUGCUACACCGAUCAAGUGGAAACAGGGCAUGGGUAUACCUAAUGGAGUUGCUCAUGAGAAGAAAGGGAACAAAAGGCCAUUUGUUGAUGAAGGCUUCUUUGGCUGGUUUAGUAAUACUGUGCAUAAAGAGGCAAUGGAGGAUUACCAGGAUGAGAUUGCAGAUGUUAUCAAAGA
rnacentral:misc_RNA from 1 species